GACGAACGCUGGCGGCGUGCUUAACACAUGCAAGUCGAACGGAAAGGCCCUGCUUUUGUGGGGUGCUCGAGUGGCGAACGGGUGAGUAACACGUGAGUAACCUGCCCUUGACUUUGGGAUAACUUCAGGAAACUGGGGCUAAUACCGGAUAGGAGCUCCUGCUGCAUGGUGGGGGUUGGAAAGUUUCGGCGGUUGGGGAUGGACUCGCGGCUUAUCAGCUUGUUGGUGGGGUAGUGGCUUACCAAGGCUUUGACGGGUAGCCGGCCUGAGAGGGUGACCGGCCACAUUGGGACUGAGAUACGGCCCAGACUCCUACGGGAGGCAGCAGUGGGGAAUAUUGCACAAUGGGCGGAAGCUGAUGCAGCAACGCCGCGUGCGGGAUGACGGCCUUCGGGUUGUAAACCGCUUUCGCCUGUGACGAAGCGUGAGUGACGGUAAUAGGUAAAGAAGCACCGGCUAACUACGUG
rnacentral:rRNA from 1 species